rnacentral:misc_RNA from 1 species
AAUGCCACCUUUAGUUUUCAGUAGGCCAGGUACAAUUCCUGCUACUCCUUAUGGAAGCACCCCAAUUCAGCAGCAAGGCGAGAACCCAACUAUCAUGCAAAAUAUACCAAUUCCUCAAUCUUCCAUUCAAUCAAUUCAUCAGUUACAGCCUCUCCAGCCUCCACUUCAACGUCCUCCACAGCCACCUCAGCAUCUCUGGCCACCUGUACAAUCUUCUCAGCAGCUUGAGCAAGGGGUUUCUUUGCAAAACUCUGUUCAAAUGCAUCAAUUACAAAUACUGCAGCAGCCACAGAUUUCUCCUAUGCAUACCCAUUAUCAAUCUCAGCAGCAGCAGCAAGUUGAACAUGGUCAACCACAAGUUCCACAUCAGCAAGGAGAUGCUGCAUAUAGGCAUCAACAAGAGUUAGGAAUGUCAUUACAAGAGUAUUUCCAGGAUCCUAAAGCUAUUACGUCUUUAUUGAGCAACAAGGAAGAACUCUGUAGGCUUUUGGAGCAGAAUCCAAAAUUGAUGCAGAUGCUUCAGGAAAGAUUGGGCCAACAAUAGCAAUAUCUGCGGUAUUCAAUUUUGAUCUCUUACCCCCUUCAGGAUACAGUCCGAGCCAAAUGCAAGAUCACCCCAUUGAGCUACCCUCAGAAAUCUUGUAUUCAUGUUGUACUAUAUAAUGUAUAUGUUCUUGUUUGCUAAAAAAAAUCCAUUGAAUUGCCUUUUAUAUGAUUUCUGAUUUAUCAUCUCUAGAUGUCUCUUUUGAUGAGUUG